rnacentral:tRNA from 1 species
CAACCGGUAGUACAACGGUAGUAUACUUGUUUUACACGCAAGUGACAUGGGUUCGACUCCCAUCUGGUUCA